rnacentral:misc_RNA from 1 species
AACUUUCGACAACGGAUCACUAGGCUCUUGCAUCGAUGAAGAACGCAGUGAAAUGCGAUAAGUAAUGUGAAUUGCAGAAUCUCGUGAAUCAUUGAAUCUUUGAACGCACAUUGCGCCCUAUGGUAUUCCAUAGGGCAUACCUGUUUGAGCGUUAGCUCCCCAUAUUCUCAAGCAUUAUUUUAUAAUGUUUGGAUUUGUUUGGAGAGGCACCUCUGUGAUGGAGGUACCCUUCAGAAAUGUAUAUGGCAGUAUAGUUUAUAUCUGAACUAGGCGUAAUAAUAAUAAAGUCGCCGAGUUCACCAUAUUUAUACUUGCCUGAACCCACCCAUUUGUUAAAUAGGGUAACCUCAAAUCAGGUAGGGAUACCCGCUGAACUUAAGCAUAUCAAUAAGCGGAGGCU